GUCGGGAAUAUUGCACAAUGGAGGAAACUCUGAUGCAGUGACGCCGCGUAUAGGAAGAAGGUUUUCGGAUUGUAAACUAUUGUCGUUAGGGAAGAUAAAAGACAGUACCUAAGGAGGAAGCUCCGGCUAACUACGUGCCAGCAGCCGCGGUAAUACGUAGGGAGCAAGCGUUAUCCGGAUUUAUUGGGUGUAAAGGGUGCGUAGACGGGAAAACAAGUUAGUUGUGAAAUCCCUCGGCUUAACUGAGGAACUGCAACUAAAACUAUUUUUCUUGAGUGUUGGAGAGGAAAGUGGAAUUCCUAGUGUAGCGGUGAAAUGCGUAGAGAUUUGGAAGAACACCAGUGGCGAAGGCGACUUUCUGGACGAUGUCUGACGCUGAGGCGCGAAAGCUAGGGGAGCGAACGGGAUUAGAAACCCGGGUAGUCC
rnacentral:rRNA from 1 species